UCAUAUUUGAAUGAAGGGUAUAACAAAACAGUUAUUGGCUAGGAUUUAGUAAAGUUAUUUUUUGGAUCUUCAGACAGAAAUGUCGGCCUCAGCCUUUGAAUUUGGGCAACAUUUCUGUUUUGAAGGUCCAGCAAAUCAUGUUUAUAACUGUAUAAUAUAAUAACUGUAUAAUAUGAUAUAAUUGACCUUAAUCAGUAAUAAUUUUUUGUUUUAUUGUUGUCAAAUUUUAAUUUUAUUCAUAACAGAGACAUUAAUGAAGGAGAAGAACUAUUAUAUGAUUAUGGACUAAAGUCUUAUCCAUGGAAUUCUCAGGUGGCAGCAUGAAGGAGACCCAGGUGAUGAUACCUGUUGAUGUAUAUGUGAUACCUGUUGAUGUAUAUGCAGCUGAUGAUGUCGACAUAGAAAUUAAUUCUGUUGAUCCAAAUGACAAGGAAAGAGAUGGCCUCCCUGUUGUCUUGGUACUUACAGGCUUUAAUGUAAAAUAAAAGGACCAAUAUGAGAUAAAUAGUGACUAUUUAUCUGGAGUUGUGCACAAUGAGCCAAAAUUAUCCAGAUUAGCAAGAAAUGGCAGUUUAUUAGAAGGAAUGAACUUCCUACUAGUUGGAUUUCCUUCAACUUAGAGGUUGAGGAUUUGAUUACUAUUCAGUCCCAGGAGAUGCCAAUCAGCAGUGAGUCAAUCAUCAUCAUUCCAGACGGAACGAAUGAGGAAGUUAAGGCAUGUCUCUUGCAAGUCCAAAAACUGAGACAUUUACCAGUCCAGGUCACAGAGACGUUUCUCGCCUAUGACAGCAGCAUUCAUUGAAAAGGGAACACGGACUGUACCAAAGUACAGACCGAGAAAAAAUGAAGAAAAAGAAAAGUACCUGCCAUGUGCACACUGUUUGGCCGUUGUUGUAGCUACAGACUUAUGGAAGCACCAAAAGUCAUGUCCAGCAAACAAAUCUCAACAAAAUUUAAAAUAUCCUGUAUGUGAAGGACGUUUGCUGUUACCCUGUGACUGAAUUUUCAAAAAAAACUACAUCAAAUUGUUUAAAAACUUUCUUGCUAUCUCCUUUGUAUUUUAAUACAUAUCUAACAUGUAAUGAUAAUAAAUUAUCAUUGAAAGGUUAAUUUAUCUUCGUAAAUACACGGUUUAUACAAAGACCUUAUCUUGUCGAUUAAAGUUUUUAAAGUUGCUUUCAUAAUGAAUUUUUCGAUUAAAUGUUAACAUUAAAAAAUAAUCCUUAUAUUCAUUAUUUGAAGUAAUAAAUAUUAAAUCUAUUUAUCUUA